GCACAAGCGGUGGAGCAUGUGGUUUAAUUCGAUGAUACGCGAGGAACCUUACCUGGGCUCAAAUGUAUGUUGACGUAUUCUGAAAGGGAUACUUCUUCGGACAAUAUACAAGGUGCUGCAUGGUUGUCGUCAGCUCGUGCCGUGAGGUGUCGGGUUAAGUCCCAUAACGAGCGCAACCCCUAUCAUUAGUUGCCAUCAGGUCAAGCUGGGGACUCUAAUGAAACUGCCUACGCAAGUAGUGAGGAAGGCGGGGAUGACGUCAAAUCAGCACGGCCCUUACGUCCAGGGCUACACACGUGCUACAAUGGCCGAUACAGAGGGCAGCUACCUGGUGACAGGAUGCAAAUCUCCAAAGUCGGUCUCAGUUCGGAUCGGAGUCUGCAACCCGACUCCGUGAAGUUGGAUUCGCUAGUAAUCGCGCAUCAGCCAUGGCGCGGUGAAUACGUUCCCGGGCCUU
rnacentral:rRNA from 1 species